rnacentral:rRNA from 1 species
GACGAACGCUGGCGGCGUGCUUAACACAUGCAAGUCGAACGGAAAGGCCCUGCUUUUGUGGGGUGCUCGAGUGGCGAACGGGUGAGUAACACGUGAGUAACCUGCCCUUGACUUUGGGAUAACUUCAGGAAACUGGGGCUAAUACCGGAUAGGAGCUCCUGCUGCAUGUUGGGGGUUGGAAAGUUUCGGCGGUUGGGGAUGGACUCGCGGCUUAUCAGCUUGUUGGUGGGGUAGUGGCUUACCAAGGCUUUGACGGGUAGCCGGCCUGAGAGGGUGACCGGCCACAUUGGGCCUGAGCUACGGCCCAGACUCCUCCGGGAGGCAGCAGUGGGGAAUAUUGCACAAUGGGCGGAAGCCUGAUGCAGCAACGCCGCGUGCGGGAUGACGGCCUUCGGGUUGUAAACCGCUUUCGCCUGUGACGAAGCGUGAGUGACGGUAAUGGGUAAAGAAGCACCGGCUAACUACGUG